UCAACUUUAAUUUGAGGGUGUUUUCAUCUACAUGUACCAGUCAAAAUUCAAGGGUUUUUCUUUAUUUUGACUAUUUUCUACAUUGUAGAACAAUAGUGAAGACAUCAACACUAUGAAAUAACACAUGUUAAAUUAAGACAUUCUCUCAACCAACUCUAUGAGGUAGUCACUCUUGGCAUUCUCUCAGCCAGCUCCAUGAGGUAGUCACUCUUGGCAUUCUCUCAGCCAGUUCCAUGAGGUAGUCACCCUUGGCAUUCUCUCAGCCAGCUCUAUGAGGUAGUCACUCUUGGCAUUCUCUCAGCCAACUUCAUGAGGUAGUCACUCUUGGCAUUCUCUCAGCCAACUUCAUGAGGUAGUCACUCUUGGCAUUCUCUCAGCCAGCUCUAUGAGGUAGUCUCUCUUGGCAUUCUCUCAGCCAGCUUCAUGAGGUAGUCACUCUUGGCAUUCUCUCAGCCAGCUCUAUGAGGUAGUCACUCUUGGCAUUCUCUCAGCCAGCUUCAUGAGGUAGUCACUCUUGGCAUUCUCUCAGCCAGCUCUAUGAGGUAGUCUCUCUUGGCAAGACUUUGGCAAAAGAAAAGUAGAGCAAAAGUUGUAAAUUAUCACUGGUUUCUUGUCGGAG
ensembl:lncRNA